rnacentral:lncRNA from 1 species
AUGGAGAGGAAUUGUAGUGUUGAAGAUGUUCGAAAAGCUUAUGGGAAGCUGUGUUUGAAGGUUCAUCUGGAUAAGAACAAGGCCCGAGGCCUGCUAAUUUGAGGCGGCAACUUGAUGUCUUGAACUGAAGGUCCAAUUUCUCCUGUUAUCUUCUGCUUUAGAUGAUACAGAGUUCUAUCUAUUGUAGAUGAAAUGUUCAAUAAGUGAUUCUCUGCUAUUUCACUCUUGACAUUGACCUUAAGCUUGAAUACCCAGUGUUCUUUGUAUUCUAUCUAUUACACAUGCUACCAUUGAUGGUAAUUUGCAAAAACUGGUAUUCUAUAUGUGAUCAACUAUCCAUUUGUCCGUG